CUACGGGAGGCUGCAGUGGGGAAUAUUGCACAAUGGAGGAAACUCUGAUGCAGCGACGCCGCGUGAGUGAAGAAGUAUUUCGGUAUGUAAAGCUCUAUCAGCAGGGAAGAUAGUGACGGUACCUGACUAAGAAGCACCGGCUAAAUACGUGCCAGCAGCCGCGGUAAUACGUAUGGUGCAAGUGUUAUCCGGAUUUACUGGGUGUAAAGGGAGUGUAGGUGGCAUGGCAAGUCAGAAGUGAAAGCCCAGGGCUCAACCCUGGGACUGCUUUUGAAACUGCCGAGCUAGGGUGCAGGAGAGGUAAGUGGAAUUCCUAGUGUAGCGGUGAAAUGCGUAGAUAUUAGGAGGAACACCAGCGGCGAAGGCGGCUUACUGGACUGUAACUGACACUGAGGCUCGAAAGCGUGGGGAGCAAACAGGAUUAGAUACCCCUGUAGUC
rnacentral:rRNA from 1 species